UACGUAGGGUGCAAGCGUUGUCCGGAAUUAUUGGGCGUAAAGAGCUCGUAGGCGGUCUGUUGCGUCGGCUGUGAAAACCCGGGGCUCAACCCCGGGCCUGCAGCCGAUACGGGCAGACUAGAGUUCGGCAGGGGAGACUGGAAUUCCUGGUGUAGCGGUGAAAUGCGCAGAUAUCAGGAGGAACACCGGUGGUGAAGGCGGGUCUCUGGGCCGAUACUGACGCUGAGGAGCGAAAGCGUGGGGAGCAAACAGG
rnacentral:rRNA from 1 species